GUUCAGGAGUGAAGAUUAACAUAGGGAGAUUGAUUGCAAAACCUGUUUCGGAAAUUCCAGCAGCCGGAAGCUGGAAUCGAUCGGUUGGCUUAAUUAAGAUGAACACGAAACUGUUUGCCGGGCGCCUGCUCCCUAAGCAGGAGCAAAGUUCGAGCUAAUCCUCAAGAUGCAUGAUUACUCUUCCCAGCUCACAGCUCACAGCUCAGAUUCUCUCCAGCUGCACACUGGCUCCAUUCAUGCAUUCUCACACCAU
rnacentral:lncRNA from 1 species